GCCUUUAAUGACACGCGAUGGUGGCAAAGCACGACUUUUCUUUUAGACAUGGCUAUGGCCUGAAUCAGUCAACCUCCUGCCUACUUUGGUUUCACUCCUUUUACACUACGCUGUGCUAUGACCUGACUAAAUGAAGCUCCUGUCCUCACCUCAACAUAGUCCCUUGGCGCCAAGAUGCCACAGGAAGCAAUACUUUUGCACCGGACAGGCCUUUGACCUGAGAACAAAAACAGUAAUUGGGUGAGUCAUGCGAAUCGCAAAUAAGCAGAGGAAAAAAUGGUCGCUUAAGGUCGACUGGUUUAAUCCUAACCUCGCAGGUCACCGAAGAGAUCCCGUCAAAACACUAGCAACGUGUAUUUAUUUUCAGCGGUUUGGUCUGGACGCACAGAAAUUGACCAUUUGUUUGUUUUGAUGCUGAACGCAGCUUGCGGGGCGGCGUUACAUUUGCACUUUUGGCGGAGCGGACUUGUACGACGAGCGUCUGCUUAGAAUCCAACGGACGCAUUCGAUCUGUUGCUGCCACUUUACAUCGAGAUGAAACCAACCCCGCAAGACAUCAUUGAAUGUUUACGUUCACUUCAAUUGGCCGGCGGAUUAUCUCGAGGGUACCUCAUGUAUUGGUACGAGUGUACAUUUGUGAAAUGCUCUGAUUUUUCGUGCCUGUCUGUCUUUGGGGCUGUUACUUAAGCGUUCCUGUACGCCACUAAAUAUGCCAGCCUUUCAUCUGUAUAUAUUUGCUCUGUGCUUGCAUUUUUAUAUCGCUACGCAAAAGUGAUGAGUGGGUGUCACAUUGCUGUGAAACGCCGCCUUCGAAAAGAACUAAAGUGGGAAUAAAGUUGUGCAUCUGUGUCAAGAAGA